GGCAAAUCACCCUGCCUGCGCUUGGAGCUCCUAAUGACUCAGCCUCAGGACCUGCCACAAAUUGUAAAUUAUGCCCCCCUUUGCAAGGCACGAUCAACGACAGAGUCCUAAGAGCACCUACUGAGCCCCAGGAGCACUGGAGCCUUUACAUGCAUGAUCUCAGUCUUCACGAGAACCCUCCAAGGUCAGGCUUAUGUGUCUCAUCUUACAGGCAGGAAGGUAAAGGAACUGGCUGAAGGUCAUGCAACCGUAGGAGAGGAUCAGCUGCCUCCUCCUUCGUGGAGUCCUGUCUAAGAUUGCAGUGGAUUUAAGGAACCUCAUCAACUGAUUGUCACUAAAGUACUACUGACUGAUAACUUGUGUCAUGUGGGAGAAGCCAGAACAUCACGGGGCCUGUCCAGGGGAGUCUGAGGCCACAGAGGAGAUGCAGUCACAGCUGGAAAUACUGCCUAAGUGUGCCUGUCUGUUCAGUGGAGGAGUUGACCAGCCUGGUCCAACAUGGCCAUGGACGAAGACCCAGGAAAGAAGAAUGGACCAGUUUCUAGAAAAGUUUCUAGAAAGACUCCAAAAGAGGUACAGACCGUAAGAGACUGCUGGUCUCCCUCCACGGGAGCUGAGGCCACACCCUCCCAAAGCUUCUGCAGACUCUCAGCUCUCAACCCAAGUAGGUUAAAAUGCACCUACUUCCUGCAUUAUAACACUUUGGAAUCACUUUAUAUGAGUUAAGAUGUGCUACAGUUGACAGGUUGUCCUAAUAUUACAUUUUGCAGAUGUUUAAUUAAACAUGCAGGAAUUUCAAGCCUCCCGUGACUGAACUCAGCUCAGGCCUUGUUCUGUGUGAUCUCAAUCUAUUCUUCAAAAUCGUAUUAUUAUUAACCCCAUUUUACCAGGGAUAAAACAGGACGCAAGAUCUCCAACACCUAGUUGAAGGCCACACAGCCAGGGGCCUGGUGGGAUAGCACUGGCUGCUCUGCCUCUGCCCUGGUCAGCCUCUCUAGUGCCUCCCUGCCAACCCUCCAGUUCCUGGCUCUUCCCUGGGCUGCCUAGGCCAGGGGCUUGAGGCCUGUGAGGCUCAAGUCUCUCUAGGAGAGU